rnacentral:tRNA from 1 species
GGCUCAGUGGCUAUUGCUUCAGACUGUAAAUCAGGUAAUUGGGGGUUCGAUUCCCCUUCGAGCCC